GCGGGCUUAGUACAAUGGUAGUACAGAGGCUUCCCAAGCCUCGGACACGGGUUCGAUCCCCGUAGCCCGCUCCC
rnacentral:tRNA from 1 species